ACUCGCUCCACUGCGGCGCGGGAUUGCCCAACACACGCGCUUAGCGACUGCCCAGGCCGACCCUGCUUCUGCGCGUGCGCCCCCGGUCAUGGAUGCGCGCGUGCGCGGUCCAGACGGACGUAGUCCCCUUAGCGAAAAGCUGAGGAGUAGAGGGUCUGAAAUGCCACGGGAAGAUGAGGGAACUCUGUGGAAGACUGGAUGGAGGAAAUAAUUGGCUGGUGGAAGGACCCUUGCGAGAAUGCGCCAUCGUGUGGGCAGGGAAGCAGCUGAAGAGGGAAUCACCCCCGAUUCCAGCCUUUAGAAUUCAAAGAGAUGAGGAGGAACCAGGAAGGAAGAUUGAAGAGUCCAGGGUGUUAUGAGAAAAAACUCCAAGAGCAUGCAGCCUUAGACGACAAGUGAAGAAGAGUUUCACAGGAGUAAGAGGCUUGUUUUGAUCCACCUCUUGAAGUGGUUCCCACCAGGAACCCAAUCACGUGCAACAAAAGGGCAGCUGACCCAGUCCAUCCUGACCUUGUUGGUUUGUUGGUGAAAUACAAGAAUCUUUUAGCUGAGGUAUACGGAUUACCUGAAAAUAAAACACCAUGGGAAAUUAUAUCCUCUGUAGGGAGAGAAACAUUCUGAUAAAAAGCUCAAAGUAUUAUCUGAACUCAGUUUUGCUGUUUUCUCAAUAUUGAAGCCUCUUAUCACCGAGGAGCACUAAUGUAGACCCAAAUCUGUCUUUUGCCAGAGAAGUCCCUUUGAAGAUGGUAUAAUAUGUAGUGCCGCUUUUGAGUUACUGCUGAAUGCUGUAGUAUUAGAACAUUGCUUAGGAACUGCCAUGCUCAAAAUGUAUAUAAUAAUAAUAGUUACAUGUAUUAAGCAUUUUUCAAUGGAAAGGGUGAGUUCCCACUUUCCAAUAUAGCACCAAAUGGCAAAUACCCACUGCUCUUAUUAAAUACUUAAUGAAACAUCUGAGUAAUAUCAACAGAUGAAAAAGAAACCACAUUUGUAGGAAAUGCCUUGACACCCUGUGAUGAACUAGAGAGUGCCUAUAGGAAUUCUUUAGUUGAACUCAAGCACCCUUAAACAUUUGUUGCAAGAGAUAGGUAACCAAGUUUGGAAUCCCAAAGGCCAUUGUCAUUGUUAAAGGUAACAUGAUGUGGCUGCUUAUGUCUGUAUUGCCUCUAUGGUUACCUUUAAGUAAAAUGUUCUAAAUGCUUUUAUUGGGACAUUGACCACCCUUUGAAUAAGUAGUUAUCUAUGGUGUCUGUAUUGGUUUGCUUGGGCUGCCAUAAUAAAGUGCCAUGGACUGGGUGGCUUAAAUAACAGAAAUUUAUUUUUUCACAGUUCUGGAGGCUAGAAGUCCAACAUAAGGUGUCAGCAGGGCUAGUUUCUUCUUUUUAAUGUUUUCCCCAGCUUUAUUGCCAUAUAACUGACAUAACAUUGUGUAAAUUUAAGAUGUACAAUGUGGUGAUUUGAUAUACACACGUAUUGCAAAAUAUUACCACAAUAAGGUUGGUUAAUACAUCCACCACCUCACAUAAUUACCUUUUUUUUUUUUUCAUGAUGAGACAGUUGGUUUCUUCUGAGGCCUAUCUCCUUGGCUUGUAGAUGGCCAUCUGUUCUCUGUGUCUUCGCUUGGUCACUGUGUCCAAAUUUCUUCCUCUCAUUAAGAACAUCAGUCAUGUUGAAUUAGGGCUCACCCUAAAGAUCUCAUUUUAACAUAGUUACUUCUUUAAACACCCUAUCCUCAAAUACAGUCACAUUCUGGGGUACUAGGGGCUAGGACUUCAACAUAUGAAUUUUGAGGGGACACACUCAGCCCAUAAGAGUGGCUUUAUUCCUUGAGACCUCUUUUCUGCUCAGGACCUCAUUAAAGUUCUUUUCUGCUAUCUUAUCUAUCAAUAGCCUGACUCCAGGUUUCAUGUAGAUAGAUAGAUAGAUAGAUAGAUAGAUAGAUAGAUAGAUAAUUUCUUUCAAUUUUUUAUGCUAACAUUUUCCCUCUUUUAGCAUAGAGAGGUGAAUAGAAAUUAAAUUUAAACAUAAUUUACAUAGAUACAAUAAAUCUUAUGACACUUUGGAGACAUUUCUUAGUUUUUUCUUUCAGGAAAAAAAUGUGAUGCAAAUCCCUGAAAAUUGUAGCAGUUUUACUAUGGGUAGCAUUGUUCUUCUCCACAGAAUAACUUACUGCUAAUACUUCUGAAGUUUGGGAAUUUUGAUCAUUUGGAUUUGGAUUCAAUUAGGGUUUAUGUCUAUGCCUAAUUCAUAAAAAAACUUUUAAACCAAAUUGUCAAAAAAGACAGGUUUUAAACCUUGUUUAAAGAAAAUAUGUAAGCUAUUUUCAAGAAUUUCCAAGUACUUUUUAAAAGCAAUUUUCUACAUGUACAUAAAGCAUUUGGUACCUAUACAUAUUUUUCAUCUGUUUGUCAAAACAGAUAUCUAAAAGGCUCUACAAGGUCUCAUUUUGACUUGAUUUUAGAUACUAUAUACAUUAAAAAGUAUUCCAUAGCUCAUAUUGGCAUUUUCUGAAUUUAAUAAAAAUUAGUGACAGUUUAACUGUGUCAAACUUAUUUAAAAAAAAAAAGUCUAGUGAUUUCAGUAGAGUACCUUCAGCAUGAGUCAUCUUUCCCUUUUCCAAUAACCUGUUAUUUAAUCCUACAGGAACACAAUUGUCUUGAUGAGACAGUUUUUCUCUUCACUGCAUACAUUUAAAUCUUUUGUUAUAAUUAACUUUAUCUCUUUGUGGGACAUACAAAAAUAAUUAUCAUGUGUUUCUGUCCAAUAAUGGAGAAACAGGUGCAAGAGAGCUAUAUUUAGGAAAAGCCAGGUAUAGAAGGGAUAAAUAUUAAAGUAUUCAGUUGGUGAUUUUGUUGUCUAGUUUAGGCAAUAUGAUAUUUAGCUAAAACUCUUGCAUAGUGCUAGGUGGGCUGCUGUAGUAGUAAAAGUUAAACAGGGAAUUCCCUGGUGGUCCAGUGGUUAGGACUUGGCACUUCCACUGAAGGGGGCCCGGGUUCGAUCCCUAGUUGGGGAACUAAGAUCCCACAAGCCAUGAGGCACGGCCAAGAAAAAAUUAAAAAAAAAAAAAAGUUAAACAACUUGUAAAAAAAAUUACUGAUAAUAUGUACAAUAAGGCCUAGUGUCUUAAAUUGAAGAUAAAUUUAAUGUGUUUUGCCAGUAUUUUUAAUUUGAUUUUCAUGGAAACUUUUAUUUGUGAGGGCAAUAUGACAGUGUUUUUUGCAGAUAAGAUGUUUUCUUCCCUUAGUGUAGUAAAAAGGCAAACAGUAGAAAGCUGGUAGAUGCAGCCAGCUCUGGAGGGGAGAAUGGAGGCAAUAUAAAUUUUGCAGCUAAAGAAAAAUAUAUGAGAACCAGUUAUUAUUAAUUUUAAUUGAAAUUUUAAUUGAGGUAAUUGUAGAUUCAUUUGCAGUUUUAAGAAAUAAUACAGAGAGAUCCACUGUAGAUUUUGCAAAGUUUCUCCCAAAUUUUUCAAAACUAUGGUAUAAUGUAACAGCCUAAAUAUUGACAUUGAUACAAUACAAUCCACUAAUAUUAUUCAAGUUCCCCCAGUUUUACUUGUACUCAUUUGUGUGUUUGUGUGUAUCAAGUUCUAAACAGUCAGUCAAAAUACUGAACAGUUAGUUUUAACAGCACAAAGAUCCUUCCCAUUGCCAUUUGUUAUCCACACCCACUUCCUUCGCAUCCCCAAAUCCUGGCAACCACUAAUGUCUUCUCCAUUUCUAAAAUGUUGUCAUUUCAAGAAUGUUAUAUACUGAAAAAAAAAAGUCAUGUACUCAAAAAGCUAAACAUAGAGUUAUCACAUGACCCAACAAUACCACUCCUGGAUAUAUAGACAAGAGAAUUAGAAAUAUAUUCACAUAAAAACUUGUAAAUGAAUGUUCACUGUAGCAUUUUUCAUAAAGCCAAAAAGUGGACACAACCCAAAUAUCCAUCAGCUGAUGAGUAGAUAUGCAAUAUGUGGUAUAUCCAUAUAGUAGAAUGUUAUUUAGCCAUAAAAAUGAAUGAAGUCCUGAUUCAUGCUCCAACAUGGUUGAACCUUGAAAACAUUAUGCUAAAUGAAAAGAAGCCAGUCACAAGAGGCAACAUAUUGUACAAUUCCAUUUAUAUAAAAUGUACAGAAUAGGCAAAUCCAUAGAAACAGAACAGAUUAGUGGUUGCCAGGAGCUAGGAGGAGGGGGGAAUGGGGAGUGACUACUAACAAGUAUGGGGUUUCUUUAGGGGAUAAUGAAAAUGUUCUGGAAUUAGAUCAUGGUGUUGGCUGCACAACUACAAAUAUACUAAAAACUGAAUUGUACACUUUAAAGGGUGAAUUUUAUGGUAUGUGGAUUAUAUCUCAAUUUAAAAAGUAAAAAAUUGUUCAAUAUGGCUGCACAAGUCUAUGAAUAUACUAAA